GGUAUGCGAUUCGCGUUGAUGGAAGUCAAAAUAGGACUAACGAAAAUCAUAUCGAAAUUCGAAGUAAGAUCAUGCAAGAAUACACAAUUUCCGAUCAAAAUAAGGCUGAGAUCCAUGUUACUCAAACCAAAGGAUCCGAUCCUUUUGAUGUUCAAAAAAAUUGAAUGAUUAUAUUUAUUUAAUUACCGGUAUACCUAAUAGCACCUAUAAUGUUUUCGCUAUAUAAUUUAAAUUUAAUUUAAUUCAUUUAGAUCAGUUUAAAGUAAAUAUCAUAUAUUAUCGG